UGCCAUGGAAGUGUUGGUUGAUUUUGAGAAUCUUUUACCUAAAGUUGUCAAGGUGUUACCCCAGGAGUAUAAACAUGUUCUUGCAAGUAUGAAGUAUGAUGUAGUAGAGAUGAAACAUAUGAUGUAGUGGAGUGUGCUGCUGCUGAUAUAGAUGAAAAAUAUGAUGAAGCUUAAGCAGUAGAGAAAGAUGAUUUUGAAGAGCUAAAGAAGUUGGCAACUGCAUCUUUGAGUGAGAACUCAAGUGAGUGGUGUUAGUCAAACAGUCGUAAAUCUACGGUGGUGUUUUGAAGUGGUGCUUACAAUCUGCAGUUGUGAUCCGGGUGCUUUGGUUUCUGUUUGAGGUGAAAAAGAAGAGGUGUAUUUUAACUUAGUGUUUAAGUAUGUACCUGAAACUGCCUACAGAGUUUCAAAGAACUAUGUCAGGAUGCAUCAACACAUGCCUAUACUUAUAUGCACUAUGUGAACAAAGUGCUGUGAGAUGGCCAUAACUAUUGUUGAACAAAGUGCUGGCCAAUAUCAUGUUUGGUUUAUAAUUGCAGAUGUACAAGUACUUUUAUACUUUAUAUUUCAUACUAUUAAUAGUUACACUUUUAAGUAUUUUGUUUCUUUUUCAAUCAUCUUAACUUCGUAUACAAAUGAAGAAACCACACUGUUGUAUUUGCAAUAAAAAUCUAAAUGCCUAUAAUUCUGCAAUACUUUGAU